GACGAACGCUGGCGGCGUGCUUAACACAUGCAAGUCGAGCGAUGAAAUCUCUUCGGGGAUGGAUUAGCGGCGGACGGGUGAGUAACACGUGGGUAACCUGCCUCAAAGAGGGGGAUAUCCUCCCGAAAGGGAGAUUAAUACCGCAUAACAUUAGUUUUUCGCAUGAAGGACUAAUUAAAGGAGUAAUCCGCUUUGAGAUGGACCCGCGGCGCAUUAGCUAGUUGGUGAGGUAACGGCUCACCAAGGCGACGAUGCGUAGCCGACCUGAGAGGGUGAUCGGCCACAUUGGAACUGAGACACGGUCCAGACUCCUACGGGAGGCAGCAGUGGGGAAUAUUGCACAAUGGGCGAAAGCCUGACGCAGCGACGCCGCGUGGGGGAUGAAGGUUUUCGGAUCGUAAACCCCUGUUGCCCGGGACGAACAGCCCUUUCGAGGGACUUGACGGUACCGGGUGAGGAAGCACCGGCUAACUCUGUGC
rnacentral:rRNA from 1 species